rnacentral:misc_RNA from 1 species
UCAAACUUGGUCAUUUAGAGGAAGUAAAAGUCGUAACAAGGUUUCCGUAGGUGAACCUGCGGAAGGAUCAUCACUGAUUCAGGGGUCUGUGUUCCUGUGUGUGCUGCGCGUAAGCGUGUGUGCACAUAGCGAGCCGCCCCAAACCAAUCUUGUGUGCACCGUUUUCACUGGUCAAAGAAUGACUGUGGUGAUUGUGUGUGUUGGUGGGUGGGAGUAGUGAGUGCGUGCGCGCGCGCGCGCUGCCCCCCCCCACCGACUGACUGCACGCACCCGUCGUUCUAAAUUUAUAAUAAUCUUGUGUGUUAACUCUGUCUAAUGUACGUUACUUGAAAUAACAUAUACAACUUUUAACAAUGGAUCUCUUGGCUCUCGCAUCGAUGAAGAACGCAGC